AUGUACCACGCGUACACUGCGGUUCCUGCGCGCCGUCCGCGCCCACCUGACGGCUGCUCGCUACGUUUUGUUAGCC
rnacentral:sRNA from 1 species